CCUACGGGUGGCAGCAGUGGGGAAUAUUGGGCAAUGGGCGCAAGCCUGACCCAGCAAUGCCGCGUGAAGGAAGAAGGCCCUCGGGUUGUUAACUUCUUUUAUUAGGGACGUCGGAUGUGACGGUACCUGAUGAUUAAGCUUCGGCUAACUACGUGCCUGCAGCCGCGGUAAUACGUAGGGAGCAAGCGUUAUCCGGAUUUACUGGGUGUAAAGGGCGCGUAGGCGGGAUUGCAAGUCAGCUGUGAAAUCCAGGGGCGCAACACCUGAACUGCAUUUGAAACUGUCGUUCUUGAGUACUGGCAAGGUUGACGGAAUUCCUAGUGUAGCGGUGAAAUGCGUAGAUAUUAGGAGGAACACCAGUGGCGAAGGCGGUCAACUGGACAGCAACUGACGCUGAGGCGCGAAAGCGUGGGGAGCAAACAGGAUUAGAUACCCUAGUAGUC
rnacentral:rRNA from 1 species